AAAUUGAAGAGUUUGAUCAUGGCUCAGAUUGAACGCUGGCGGCAGGCCUAACACAUGCAAGUCGAACGGUAACAGGAAGMAGCUUGCUKCUUAGCUGACGAGUGGCGGACGGGUGAGUAAUGUCUGGGAAACUGCCUGAUGGAGGGGGAUAACUACUGGAAACGGUAGCUAAUACCGCAUAACGUCGCAAGACCAAAGAGGGGGACCUUCGGGCCUCUUGCCAUCGGAUGUGCCCAGAUGGGAUUAGCUUGUUGGUGGGGUAAUGGCUCACCAAGGCGACGAUCCCUAGCUGGUCUGAGAGGAUGACCAGCCACACUGGAACUGAGACACGGUCCAGACUCCUACGGGA
rnacentral:rRNA from 1 species